GUGCUCACUUCGGCAGCACAUACACUAAAAUUGGAAUGAUACGGAGAAGUUUAGUAUGGCCCCUGCACCAGCAUGACAUGCAAAUUCGUGAAGCAUUCCAUAUUUUU
rnacentral:snRNA from 1 species